ACGAACAGUAGCCAAACCAGAGAGCAGUCA
rnacentral:piRNA from 1 species